UGGCUCAGUUGGUAGAGCAUGAGACUCUUGAUCUCAGGGUUGUGAGUUCUACCCCAC
rnacentral:tRNA from 1 species